AUCAUGGUGAUAUACAAGCAUAAGCUAAAACCUUCAUAUCAGGAGUAUUCAUCAUGAUACUAGAAACAGAACGUCUUUCCCAGGAAUGUGUAACCUUCUAUGUCUCAACUAAUAGCAUGUCUGCAAUGAGCACAAUAAACACAUAAAUAACUGAAUGAAACACAAGUGAGGAACACACACCAAUCUUUGGAUAACAUAACACAUACACAGAUGCAGAGUCCGGCUGUUAACACUGCCAGGGAAUUUAGUUGACACAGAGCAGACAAGCACACAUCAAUUCAACUCACACACUUCACUUUUUCAUCACACAGUGGUAUACCUUUUCACACCUGUUUGUCUUAAGUCAGAGUCAGUCACUACGGUCAGUCAGUAGUCUUCACUUUCUUUACCUUUACUUUACAUUUAAACAUGUGACAUUCCUACAAUUGGUCAGGAGAUCUGGAAAAUGUUUGUGUGUACAGGAUCCCUGGAUAGACUGCUCAGUCUAUCCUUAUUUGACCUCUUUUUGAUCUUCUGCUCAUUAAGACAGUCUGUAUCUGUAAUUUAAGUCCAAUUAUAAAACUGAUUUCAUAAGGUCUUUGGCUUUUGCCAGAACUAUAAUCAGAAAAUUAUUAGUGACUUAUUUCUAGUUAUUCCUUUUAGCUUUUUCUUAAGCCUCAGCGGAACUCCACAUGAUAAACUCUAAAUGUUCUGGCAGACUGAUAAGUUUUGGUCCCUGCAAAGCAGCCUAACUUACAACCUCCCAGUUAUGAGACUGCAUAAGUAGGCCAACCUAGAUUAUUUGUAACCCUUUCAUAAAAGAUAAUCGCUCCAUAUUUCUUAACCUAAAUGUAUGGAAUGUACAUAUAUAUUAGAGGUACAAGCGUUACACAAUCACUAUAUUCAGAUACAUACGUGACAGCAUGAAAAGGAGUUGAAGAGAAGCUUAGGGAGGCUUUUCCUCAAGUUUGAUCAAGACUCUGUCAUCUGUACUGAUUUCUACAUCUGCACAAUAAAAGACGACCAGGCUGCUCUUCAGAUCUCAUCCUGUCUCCUGUGCAUUGUUUUUCUGAGUUUAUGUUGAUCUUCCACAACAAUCUUUGCUAAGAUAUGCCUGAAAUGUAAAUAUAUAUAUGGAUGAUCUUUGACCAGUGUUUAUCAAGAAUGAUUUCAGUCCCUUUCAAGGAUCCUUUCCCUCUCUCUGCCCUCUUCCAAAGGGCCAUGCUGACAGGCACCUAAGGCCCAUGCAGGUUGCCCCGUCACAUGGUGGAGGACUCUAGUCCACAGGUCCUGAUGAAAAUCAGUAACUUAAGUCCUAGGGUCAGCUGGAGAUACAAGGUCUGUUUUUGUCAGCUUUUAUACUGACAAAGAACACAUGGUAGUUUCUUACAGUCUUGCAACAAACACAAAAGUGGUUGCUGAUGUCUUCAUUCCAAGACUGAAGGAGGGUACACCCCUUUUGUUUAUAAGAAGAGGAUUUGAUGUAGAUUAUUUCAAAAGUACAAUCUAAUCCAUCAACAAAGCAAACACAAAUUUACAGCAUGGAUUAUUUUGCUUUGGCUCUUGGGCCUGUGCCACAUAUCCAGGGUGUGUGGGGCAGUGCCUUCAUUAUAUUGUCCGUAGGAGAAACAAUUCAAAUACAACCUUUUUUUUUCUUUUUUAUCAUACAGAUCUGUAAGUAUAUUAACUCAUGGUGAGGGGCUCAAAGUAGAGUUUCAGCCUCCCCUAGUUUAGCCCACAUGUUCAUCAGCUGUCAUCAAUGUUUUGAAUUUGGACUGCAGUAACCAUUUUUAAACACAGGGUGUCAGACUUGUUUAUUGUUCUUUUAAUCAGCUUCUAAACAUGAAUUGACUCGAGUCAUGACAGUUUUUUCUCUCAAAAAAGGUAGUGUAAAUGUGUGAUGAUGCUUUGUGGCUUAUUUAGGAAAAUAUUUGCAUUUUGCAGAGCUCUGAGGAGGAGCUUUCUCAAGAGGAGUAGGAAACUAGUCGUGGUUUCAUUUGUCCACUUAUAGGACUGGAAUCCUCUUGACUAUACGAGGACAUAAACCCAGAUGUCGAUCAUCUCUUUGAAAGUAAAAAACCAUGAAGAGGACUCUUGGUCUAAAGUUUUCUCUGUCUAACCCCAAGUGAAGUCAUGUGUCCUCUUGUAGGUGUCUCCUCUGUUCACAUUCAAUGAAAGGUAUCCUGUUGACAUGCUGCUUCACCAGGAGCAUUUUGAGGUCAAGGUUCUUGCCUUGAGGAUAACUUUACAUGCAGGAUUUCUACUACUAACUACUCUACCAGUGAGCCACAUCAGCUUUGAAGGAUAGAAACUGUGCCAUGAGCUCAGCACAUAAAGCAUCCAACUUCAGACCCAAGCCUUUAGUUUUUCUGACAAACAGUCAAUGCUAACAGAUGAAAUAAUUACACACCAGAGUUUUUGGACUUUUUGGUUCUAUAACCAAGAGUUUUAAUUUUAGAAGACAUUCCAGCAUCACUGUGAAGUCACUCGACAUUAAUUUGUAUUUCUUAAAACCACUAGAGGUCUCUGUCCACAAGCUGAAUCAUAACCCUCUUUCUGAAGGGAGUUGGUUUCUCCAACAUCAGACAAAACAGCAAAUAUUUAUUUGUGUCUACAUUUAUAGUGAAUUCAGAGCCUCUCCUCUCUUUGAGCUUAACAUCAUAACUCAAAUUCACCACAUUUUGUUUCACAUUAAUACAGAAAAUAUACAUAUAUCAUCACUGUGUAAAACAGUAACUGUCCUUCUGCCACAGUUUUUCACAGUUUAUUUCUACUUACCACACUGAGCCCACCAGUCCACUGGUUUAAUAACAGCCUAUUGAGGGAUUAUUAAAUGUGUUGAUACAGAGUAGUGUCUGCUCUGUUUACCUCUCAUCAUCUGUUCAUCUCUCUCUCUCUCUCUCUCUCUCUCUCUCUCUCUCUCUCUCUCUCUUUCUCUCUCUCUAUGUCCCUGUCUUCCAUCAGCCAUCACUUUGAUGCUAUUCAUUUGUUUUUUAAUUUAAGUAUUGUAGUUUUUAUCUUCCACUGACCUCCCAAGCCAAACAGUGUUUUUAAUCAGGAAUUUUCUGAUGUUUUAUCAUAUUUUUGUCAAAACAUGACAAAUUUCUUAUAUUAGGUGGUUUAAACAUUCAUGUAUGCUGUCGUUCUCAGGCUUUUACGUUGAUUUCAUGGACACCUUAGAAUCUUUUAGUCUCACACAGUCUAUUCAAGUCCCCACUUAUUCAAUAGGCCAUAUCUUAGAUUUAGUUUUACACCAUGGUCUCACCCUCUACAACUUUGAAUUAAGGAUAUCUGUGUGUCAGACCAUCUGUUGGUUUUAAUUAUUGCUGUUUUAUCCUUUUUACAGUAUUAACAGUAGUCCCCACUCCUGUCAUGUUUUUAUUCCCUUAUCUGCCAGACCGUUUUGUAAGCUUUUUACUGCUGCUUCUUUAACUGCUUUGACUCUAGCAUUUUAAUCACAUUUGUAAAACCACUCUAUAUUCACCAUUGAGUCAUUAGUUUUAAAGAGCUAAUAUUUUUUCUGAAAAAUCCCAAAAAUACCAAGAGCAAUUCGGCUUCAAAUUCGUAUAAUGAUGGAAGGCAGAGCCAAAUAUUCUAUAGUAUAUACAGUCUAUAGUGUAGACUGUAAGCAAAGAGGAAACACAAAACAUGAAAUGGAAAGUAGACGGAAAAAAAAAAAAGAUAACUUAACCAGUGAACAUAACAUAUUCAAGCACAGUGAAACAUAAAACAGUUAAUUCAGAGUUUUAGAUCAGAUGGACUUGAAAAAGAGUGAUCAUUUUUUUGUUCCAAAAUAACUUUUUUUCCCUUUUGAAUUUGUGUUUACUAACAAAAAGCAUGCUUGUGUUUCAUUUGAACUUUAUCAAAAAACUGUUUGUGAAUAAAAUGAAUUUUUAGAGCUCAAAAAAUAGUUCAGCGAGGGAAGAAGAUUAGAGCUGGGGAGUGAACUGAACCCUAAUAGAGCCCUGACAUGAAGCUGAGGGUGUUUUGUUCAAUAAUAAAUCCCAGACUGAGAAAGCAGACUCCCUAAAAGCCUAUUGCCUAUUUUCUGUUGAAGCAUUUAGGACAGACAGUAGUUUCAGGAAUUGAUCAUUUCAGGCUUCAAAAGUGAGCGACUCUCCUUUGAAACUCAUAUUUAUGUAUCUGGCUCCACAGCAAGAAUAAAUAAAAAGGUUUGAAAGUUUUAACCCUGCAUACUCUUCUUUCAAAAAAAGGAUGAAAACACAGAUAUCACUCAUGUUUGUAAAAAAAAGCUAAAAAUAGGAGGUCGUUGGCCUCGCUUAGCUUAGCUCUCAAAGCUCAGGAGUGGGUCAGUGUUUGGAAUCAAACGCGUUCAUUCACUGCAUCCUACUCUCUACCUGCAGGGUGUUGUGUAGAGGACUUUCAGUGAGCUCAUUGGCACAUAAAAAAACACCACUUACUGUCUCCGUAGAGGCUGAUAUUGACAUCACUGCAGUCAACAAUAGUGAAAUAAACAUCUGAAAUUUCAGUGAUAACCACUAUGAUACUCAGCAUGUCCUUGCAAAAUAAUUAAAUUAUAUUAAAUCAAUUUAAAAUGACAUUAUUUUACAAUAAGUAAAAACAUAUUUUUGUACCUUUACUCCUGUAUCAGUCUUUGGUGGUGGCUGCAGGGGUUACUGCAGGAAUAUGGGGUUUGUUACUACAAGCCAUACAAUCCCUGUUUGCCCAAAGUGAGAGAUGUGUUUUCAGGCCAUGUUGGACUCAGACAGGGUCGCCUCUUGUCACUUAUCCUGUUUGUGCUUUUCAUGUACAGGAUCUCAAGGUUCAGCCAGGGGAGAUGGGUCUUCAGUCCAGGAGUCACAGAGUUCCAUCUCUGCUCUUUGUAGAUGAUGUGGUUCUGUUGGGUUUCUUUGGGCUGGGACCCAAAGCAGGUAUUGGGGUGGCUUGCAGCUCAGUGUGAAGCGUUUGGGGUGAAAGUCAGCACCUCAAAAUCCAAGACCAUAGUUUCCUGCUGGAAAGGCCCAGAAUCCAAGGUGCUUGAAGUCUAGAGUUAUGUUUCUACAGUCUGUGAUGAUUUGGAGGACCACGUCAUCAAGUCCAGAGUCAACACAGCCUUAAGUCUACCAGGAGGUCUUAGAGACCUUCAAGUUUCCAUCUGCUGAGAAGCUCUAUGGAGUUAGAAGAUUUCCUUUUCCAGCAGAACCUGAACCCUGCCCACAGCACCAAAACUACCAGAAAUUGGUCUGCUGACCAUGGUGUUACGGUGCUUAAUUGUACGGGCAACUAGUCUGACCUGAACCCCAUAGAGAAUCUCUGGGGUAUCAUCAAGAGAAAGAUGCGCGCCAUCAGAGCAUCAAUACAGACAAGCUGAAGGAGAUAUCAGGAACCUGGGGCCUCAUGUAUCAACGCUUGCGGCGCAAGAAAACCUUGCGUACGCCAAAAUCGGCGCACACGUCCAGAUUUAUCAUCGCGAAACGAGCGUCGGUUCCAGCGCUAAUCAACGCAAAGUCAGGAGGUGGUGUAGAAAUUGGCGUUGAGCCGAUACUUGCGUUGACGGUGAUUCGCACUUUGGCGACGCUGUGUGGCGGUGUUUGGUGACUCACUAUGUGACAAGCGUGCACCACAUCCCCGUGGCCGAGCAGCACGUCGCCCCACAUCACGAACCAGCAGCAGACGGAGGGAUGCGAGCUGAUCCCUGCCGGGCCGCCGUCCUCGCGCGGGAGAAUCUCAUCGCCACAGUGUGAAUGGGUAAGAAGUGAAUACACAGUUCAAUGAGCCAAAUUAAUUUAUUUUCGCCACCAGACGCUCGAAGACAUGUACAAGCCGUUCCAGCCGCUCGUUGAUCCCCGCGAUCCCCCUGAUGAUUUCUUCCUGAUUGCAGGACCGCCUCCGUGAGGACCCUUCCACUGCGUCCGGGUGGUCCAGCGGAAGCGCUGCGGCUGGUGGACGCUCCACCGCUUGUCGGCGCGCUGGUGCUGAUGCUGGUGCCGGGGGCCGGGGUUCCGCAAGCCGGCGACACGGCCGACACAUUGAUUUCUGUGACACAAUAAAAAUACUGGUUCAUUUCAAUUCCUGCUUCUGUGUAUCUGUUGCAUUUACAUCUCUCUCUCCACGGUAUCAUAGGUAAUGUAAUCCAGUAUUUCGAGGUCAGUUAUGCACAUUACAGUUGUUUAUUACAUAAAAAGUUAUCGAAAAGUGAAGUUAAGGGCGAAGUAUAAAUCACGUCUAAAAAUAGACUGAAUCCCGAUGUUGAAAUGAAGUAUAAACUUAGACUAGACGUCUAAUAUACGUCUUUUGCUCAGUGGGAUGACAAAGCAUGUGGACAUUUGUGUGACACGCCACUUACCCUAUAAUAAUAAUCGCCACCACCCGCUGCUCAAACGGUGUGAGGGUCUCCUCCCCCACUCCAAGCGUUUUCGUUUUGCACUGACGCCACUGGACAGGCUGCCAAACAAAACACGCUGUCGCUCCUCCACCUCCGCCACCAGCACCUCCACCUCGCACGCCGUAAAUUUAGUUUUUCUUGUCAUUUUGUCUGUGUGCGAGGACAGGGAGACCCUAUUUAAAUAAAUCUGCAUAUUUAUAGGAGGGCGUAACGGGGACGGGCCCAGUCACUCCGACAUCUGCGCUCAAUUCCACGCUGAUUGGGAUUUAUCAAGGAAACACACGUUGAUUUC
rnacentral:lncRNA from 1 species